CCAAUCUGAUGGAGGCAAUUCAUCAGCUGAGGUUUCUCUCCCCAGGUUGUCAGGCUGACAACUGAGAUUCGCUGUCACCGUGACCAGACUAUCUCAUGUUCUGGGGUCUGAAACUGGAGAAAAGGAAAACCAAGAGAAGGCGAGCAGAUGCCUCACCUUCUAUGACUCCUGACUGGAAAACAUGAGCAGCUCCUUCCUGCUCAUGACGUCACAAUGUCACCACCCUCCCAGCCAUGACAGGCUGUGCUGUCAAACCACGACUCCAAAUGAAUCCUCCCUCCUUAAGUGGCUGUUGGCCAAGUAUUUUAGCACAGCAAUGAGGAAGGUAACAUAACCUAAGGAAGUAACUCAGUCCCCGCACCCUCUCCCACCUGGCUAACCUGUCCCCACUUCUCUAAGCAGCCUCUGGGAGUGUCACAGUCUUUGGAGGUCCAUCUGAAGACAAUCACAGCGUCUCUCUGCCCAGGAGAGGAAAGGUCACCAAAGAUCUCUGUCAGCAUGCGGUGGAAGGCCAUGUGAGGACACCGAGGGCGUCUGCAAACCUGGAAGUGAGGGAGGCCUGGGUGGAAACCAAAUACGACGGGAACAUUGAUUGAUCUUGGAGUUUCCAGGCCCUAGAACUGCAAGAAAAUAAAUCUCUCUUGCUGAGCGGAA